rnacentral:rRNA from 1 species
GACGAACCGUGCGAACGUUGUUCGGAAUCACUGGGCUUAAAGGGCGCGUAGGCGGGCGGCCAAGUCAGGGGUGAAAUCUUUCGGCUCAACCGGAAAAGUGCCUUUGAUACUGGCCAUCUCGAGGGAGGUAGGGGCGUGCGGAACUUUGGGUGGAGCGGUGAAAUGCGUAGAUAUCCAAAGGAACACCGGUGGCGAAAGCGGCGCGCUGGACCUCUUCUGACGCUGAGGCGCGAAAGCCAGGGGAGCAAACGGG